rnacentral:rRNA from 1 species
UCUCCGUGCCGUAGCUAACGCAUUAAGUACCCCGCCUGGGGAGUACGGCCGCAAGGCUAAAACUCAAAGGAAUUGACGGGGACCCGCACAAGCAGCGGAGCAUGUGGUUUAAUUCGAAGCAACGCGAAGAACCUUACCAGGUCUUGACAUCCUCUGACCAUCUGAGAGAUCAGACUUUCCCUUCGGGGACAGAGAGACAGGUGGUGCAUGGUUGUGGUUACCUUGUUACGACUUGCAUNNNUAAGCCUGCCGCUAGCGUUCAUCCUGAGCCAGGAUCAAACUCUUNAGUUGGGCACUCUAAGCAGACUGCCGUGGAUAACACGGAGGAAGGUGGGGACGACGUCAAAUCAUCAUGCCCCUUAUGACCUGGGCUACACACGUGCUACAAUGGUCU